rnacentral:rRNA from 1 species
UACGAAGGGGGCUAGCGUUGCUCGGAAUUACUGGGCGUAAAGGGCGCGUAGGCGGACAGCUAAGUCAGAGGUGAAAGCCCAGGGCUCAACCCUGGAAUUGCCUUUGAUACUGGCUGUCUUGAGUAUGGGAGAGGUGUGUGGAACUCCGAGUGUAGAGGUGAAAUUCGUAGAUAUUCGGAAGAACACCAGUGGCGAAGGCGACACACUGGCCCAUUACUGACGCUGAGGCUCGAAAGCGUGGGGAGCAAACAGG